rnacentral:rRNA from 1 species
UACGUAGGGUGCGAGCGUUAAUCGGAAUUACUGGGCGUAAAGCGUGCGCAGGCGGUUUUGUAAGCCGGAUGUGAAAUCCCCGGGCUUAACCUGGGAAUGGCAUUCGGGACUGCAAGGCUGGAGUGCGGCAGAGGAGACUGGAAUUCCUGGUGUAGCAGUGAAAUGCGUAGAUAUCAGGAGGAACACCGAUGGCGGAGGCAGGUCUCUGGGCUGACACUGACGCUCAUGCACGAAAGCGUGGGGAGCAAACAGG